GGUAACUGUUUUUGGCACGUCUUCAUUUAAAAAAUAUUUUCAGAGCUUCAAACGGAGAGGCCUCUUUCAGCUUCGGAGGCCCCGAGGUGAAGGUUAUCAAAGGCACCCGGGAGAGUAGCCUUUCUCUCACGUAGGGGCCUCGUGGCCGAACGGAAGGGACGAGGCCUCCGCCUGCACUGGCCUCCCUCGCUCUGAAGCAAGGGGAAGAGGCCUGAACCGACCUCUCAGGGUCUCCAGGGCGACUUCCCUUUCUCCCUCCGCCGUCGGGGGUGGGGGCUGCGCGCGCGUGCAGAGCUCGGACCCGCCCCGGGGCGCGCGGUGAGACGUGAGCCUCACGGCCAAGAGCAAGGCCGGCCGCACGGGGUUUGCUCUCUCGGCUCCCGGCCCCUCGCGCAGGUGCCGCCCGUGGACGCUUCUGGUUAACUCAUGAGGAGUGUUUCCCCUCGAGUUCUCUCUACACCCAACGUGGGGCUCAAACUCAUGACCCUGAGAUCAAGAGCUGCAUACUUUACUGACUGAGCCAGCCAGAUCGCACUUUUAAUGGUGGGGAAGAAGAACUUGGGAUGAGGUCUUCAUUCCCUGGAACAGUUCCAGCCCAUACAGAGACAGCCCUACUGUCAAGAACUUUUUUCCAAGGAGCAUCUAAUGGAUGAUUAAUCCAUGGAACAGACCUUGGUCAACAAAUAUUAUAAGGUGGGCGCUUUUUUGGUCUUGUUCAGUAUUAUACCCCUAGUAACCAGAAAUCACCUGAGAGGUAGUACUGGUUCUUCAGCAUUUUGAUACUGUUAUUUCAGCCUCCGCUGAGGGGCUAGAUUACAUGACUUUUCCAGAUCUCUUCUGAAGUAUACUUUAAUUGUGUGAGAGUUCUGCAGGACAGCAAAAAAGACUGUGAGCCAGGUCUGACAGGAAGCCGAUGAAAUCCAGAUCUAAACCAGCUUGCAGGCACUUAAAAUCACUUGUCCUGUGCUUCCCUCUCCCCUAAGCUCCCUGGUGCACCAGCUUCUAUAUGAGAAACAGAUCCAUAAACUCAGGACUGAGAUUGGGCUUCUAGAACCAAAGGCAGGCUGUCAGAGGGAUGCCAAACAGCUGGUUUGGCGCACCAGACCACUGGAUGUUACUGUGCUCCUUGGAAAGGUGCCUGGAGCGCGUCUCCACCGACAGCCACCCACGUCAGGCCCUCUGAGAGAACACGGAGUUGGGGUGAGGCAUCUGUCAGCGCUGCAAGCCUGAGGCGUGGACCUAACAGACCACAGCGUGACCUGUGCUGGCGAAGAAGAGAAUCCUCAGGUCUGUAGUGCUGUGGGGAACGUGAGCUUGCCUUUGUCCUCGUACCCUACGUGGUCCUUUGUGCAACGCUCGGCGGCAUCUGUCCUGAAGCUUGCAUUAGAAGCGCAGUGAUGGAUCCACCUGCCUGACUCCCUGUGGAGGUUGGGACGGGGCAGAGGACACGGGAGGUGCGGACACGCAGCCUUCAGAGCGCUAAUCUUCUAGCACCAGCUGCACAGUUCUCCAGUGGCCAACUCUCUUAGUGCCUGGAGGCAGCUCUUCUGAGCACCAACUGCAGCACUCUUACCUUCUGCUCAUGUGUUUUAGGUUACAGUAUGAGCAGGUUCAGGGCCUCCUGGGGAGGUGAGGCGUUGGGAGGCUGCACAGGGCCCCACUGUUGAGGAGCACUCUGCUAAUACACAAUUGCAUUUUAUGUGCGUGCCGGUUUAUGCUAUUAACCUUGAAAUUUAUUAUCAGGUUUCACUGUGCCUCUGAUAAGUCUUCAGCCUAAUUAUUGUAACUGUUGUAAUUACUGAGUGCUUAUUACGUUCCAGGAACUGCACUAAAUGUUUUACAUGGAUCCAGUGGGAUACAUAUUAUUAAUUUCAUCUUACAGACAAGAAAAACAAGAUCAAAGAGGUUAAAUGACUUGCUCAAGCUCAUCUAGUAAGCAGUGAAGUUGGGAUUUAAGCCCAAGUGCCUUCCCACUAUGCUUUCUUUCCUUCGCACUGCAGGGCCCUCCACAUCUUACCUUCCAAAGGCCCAGAGAGCGAAAGUGCUAUGCCUGGGUGCAGGCGGCGCCCAGCGAGGGGCCCUGUUCUCUGAGCCCAGAUGGCAAGAAUAAAUUCUUUCAGGGUUAGUGGGAGGGACACGGGCAAGGGAGAGGAGUGUCUAACAAGGAGGGUCACCAUGAAAUUCUUUUCUGUGGCCUGAAGCCUACCCUGAUGUGCCAGGAGCCACGUCCAUCAGUGAGGAGUCUAGGAAUUGGCCCUUGAUUUGACUGGACAUGAGUUAAGGGUUCCGAGUCCUGACCUUGCCAAAUGUGGAGCCACCAUCUGUUAGUUAAGUAAUCCUUCCAGAAGUCUUGCCCCUCCCCCCACCUGACCCAUCAGCACCUGCAUCUCAUUUGCAUAUAGGACCCAUAUCCUCUUUACCCUCCCAUCCCUGCCAUUACCCUUAUAUAAGCACUUUCAAAAAGCCUGAAGCAACAGGGUCAAACUCCCUGGCAUCAGAAGAUGGAUUCUAAUUUGCAUGGAUUCUGAAUCCAUAGUAAAUGUAGGGGAGUCCUGACUGAGUACUUUAAUAUGUCUGGUGGUCAAGUUUGGCUUCCCUCUCAACUGUGUCAGGUCUGAUUACUAUAGUCCGUCCCUUCUCCCAUGACACUGCAGUGGCCUUGCCUUUUUCUGACUGAACCUUGACUGAUACAAUGACUAGAGAAAGAGAGCAGGUAGAACUAGUAGUUAGUUAUAGGCCAUGGCUCUGACCCCUGGCUUGAAUUUGAGUCUAGACUCAGGUCCUGAUCAGUUGUUUGACCUUGGACAAAUUAGUCUCUGCAAGCUUCAACUUCCUGUUCUGUAAAAUGGGGUUAAGACUACUGUGUGUGUUUUACACAGAAGAAAGCAUGUCAUAUCACAUGAGACAAUGUGUACCCUGAGCAGCCCUAAGUGUGUUAACUUUCUGGGUUGGAGCUAAGUUGGAUAACUGGCCUAACAGAAGGAUAAAAACGAGUGGGGAGUUCAAAUACAAGAAUAAGAUCAUUCAGUAAAAAGCAGAUGCAUAUUUGGCUAAGAAGGGCAGUAAGCCGUGAGGGAAGAAGCUCGUCAAUUUUUCUAGUAGUGUUACCAUAUGUAAUUGAGAAGUGUCUGAGAAUGGACAGACCCUGUAAUUAACUCAAAUGGCCUCCCUUUGUGCCAGCCUAGCCCAGGAUAUGAAGAUAACUGGUAUACAUUCGGAGUUUUAAGAGGAUGAGGAAGCUGGUGGGUAGAGAGGUUUAAUACUCGAAGUGAGUGUAAGAAAAUGUUCUCAAGACCUCGGAAAGAAGAAAAGCCCCGAGUCUCAGCUGGGGCCACUUACCUGGAAUGG